rnacentral:rRNA from 1 species
AAUGAACGUUGGCGGCGUGGAUUAGGCAUGCAAGUCGAGCGCGAUAUGUAGCAAUACAUGGAGAGCGGCGAAAGGGAGAGUAAUACGUAGGUAUCUACCCUCGGGUCUGGGAUAGCAGCGGGAAACUGCUGGUAAUACCAGAUAACGUCUCCGGACCAAAGGGGUGAUUCCACCUGAGGAGGAGCCUACGGCCUAUUAGCUAGUUGGUUGGGUAACGGCCUACCAAGGCAAAGAUGGGUAUGGGGUGUGAGAGCAUGCCCCCACUCACUGGGACUGAGACACUGCCCAGACACCUAGGGGUGGCUGCAGUCGAGAAUCUUCGGCAAUGGGCGAAAGCCUGACCGAGCGACGCCGCGUGCGGGAGGAAGGACUUCGGGUUGUAAACCGCUGUCGUAGUGGAGGAAAUGUAGGAGAGUUAUCUCUUUUACUUGACUAAUACUAGGAGGAAGGACCGGCUAAUCUCGUGCCAGCAGCCGCGGUAACAC